rnacentral:lncRNA from 1 species
CCUCCCCCCCCGUUGGAGGACCCCCACAAUCCCCCCCCUCCCCUCGGAGGACCGCAGCGGCGCCGUGCCGGGGAGCGCCGCGCACUGCGCUGAGCCAAUGGGAGUGCAGCAACGCUGAGCCCAUAACCAAUGGGAGUGCAGCGCUGAGCCCAUAACCAAUGGGUGCUCUGACCCAAUAACAUGGGGACAAUCUGACCCCAUAACAUGGGGACAAUUUGACCCCAUAACCAAUGGGAGCUCCGACCCCAUAACCAAUGAACGCUCCAACCCCAUAACCAAUGGGUGCUCUGACCCCAUAACAUAAUGAUGCUCUGACCCCAUAACCAGAGGACGCUCUGACCCCAUAACCAAUGAACGCUCCAACCCCAUAACCAAUGGGUGCUCUGACCCCAUAACAUAACGAUGCUCUGACCGCAUAACCAGAGGACGCUCUGACCCCAUAACAUGGGGUCAAUCUGACCCCAUAAGCAAUGCACGCUCUGACCCCAUAACCAAUGGAUGUUCUGACCCCAUAACCAACGGGAGCUCCGACCCCAUAACAUGGGGACAAUCUGACCCCAUAACCAAUGGGUGCUCCGACUCCAUAAGAUGGGGACAAUUUGACCCCAUAACCAAUGUGUGCUCCAACCCCAUAACCAAUGGGUGCUCUGACCCCAUAACAUGGGGACAAUCAGAACCCAUAACCAAUGGGUGCUCCAACCCCAUAACCAAUGGGUGCUCUGACCCUAUAACAUAAUGAUGCUCUGACCCCAUAACAUGGGGACAAUCUGACCCCAUAACCAAUGGGCGCUCUGACCCUAUAACAUAAUGAUGCUCUGACCCCAUAACAUGGGGACAAUCUGACCCCAUAACCAAUGGGUGCUCUGACCCCAUAACAUAAUGAUGGUCUGACCCCAUAACCAGAGAACGCUCUGACCCCAUAACAUGGGGACAAUCUGACCCCAUAAUCAAUGGAUGCUCUGACCCCAUAACCAAUGGACGCUCUGACCCCAUAACCAAUGGGUGCUCUGACCCUAUAGCAUGGGGACAAUCGGACCCCAUAACCAAGGGGUGCUCUGACCCCAUAAACAAUGGGAGCUCCUACCCCAUAACCAAUGGGAGCUCUGACCCCAUAACAUAGGGAUGCUCUGACCCCAUAACAUGGGGACAAUCUGACCCCAUAACCAAUGGAUUCUCUGACCCCAUAACCAAUGAACGCUCCAACCCCAUAACCAAUGGGUGCUCUGACCCCAUAACAUAAUGAUGCUCUGACCCCAUAACAUGGGAUGCUGUAAUCACAGAACCAAUGGGAGCUCCGACCCCAUAACCAAUGGGUGCUCUGACCCCAUAACCAGAGGACGCUCCGACCCCAUAACCAAUGGGAGCUCCGACCCCAUAACCAAUGGGCGCUCUGACCCCAUAACAUAGAGAUGCUCUGACCCCAUAACAUGGGAACAAUCUGACCCCAUAACCAAGGGGUGCUCCAACCCCAUAACCAAUGAGGGAUCUGACCCCAUAACCAAUGGGCGCUCUGACCCUAUAACAUAAUGAUGCUCUGACCCCAUAACAUGGGGACAAUCUGACCCCAUAACCAAUGGGUGCUCCGACCCCAUAACAUAACGAUGCUCUGACCCCAUAACCAGAGGACGCUCUGGCCCCAUAACAUGGGGACAAUCUGACCCCAUAACCAAUGGGUGCUCUGACCCCAUAACCAAUGGAUGUUCUGACCCCACAACCAAUGGGAGCUCCGACCCCAUAACAUGGGGACAAUCUGACCCCAUAACCAAUGGACGCUCUGACCCCAUAACCAAUGGGUGCUCCGACCCCAUAACAUAACGAUGCUCUGACCCCAUAACAUGGGGACAAUCUGACCCCAUAACCAAUGGGAGCUCUGACCCCAUAACAUAACGAUGCUCUGACCCCAUAACAUGGGGACAAUCUGACCCCAUAACCAAUGGGUGCUCUGACCCCAUAACAUGGGGACAAUCUGACCCCAUAACCAAGGGGUGCUCCAACCCCAUAACCAAUGGGUGCUCUGACCCCAUAACCAAUGGGAGCUCUGACCCCAUAAUAUAAUGAUGCUCUGCCCCCAUAACAUGGGGACAAUCUGACCCCAUAAGCAAUGCACGCUCUGACCCCAUAACCAAUGGAUGUUCUGACCCCAUAACCAACGGGAGCUCCGACCCCAUAACAUGGGGACAAUAUGACCCCAUAACCAAUGGGUGCUCCGACCCCAUAAGAUGGGGACAAUUUGACCCCAUAACCAAUGUGUGCUCCGACCCCAUAACCAAUGGGUGCUCUGACCCCAUAAAUUGGGUGCUCCGACCCCAUAACAUGGGGACAAUCUGACCCCAUAACUAAUGGGUGCUCUGACCCCAUAACCAAUGGGUGCUCUGACCCCAUAACAUGGGAUGCUGUAACCACAUAACCAAUGGGUGCUCCGACCCCAUAACAUGGGGACAAUCUGACCCCAUAACCAAUGGGAGCUCCGAUCCCAUAACCAAUGGCUGCUCUGACCCCAUAACCAAUGAGGGAUCUGACCCCAUAACCAAUGGGCGCUCUGACCCCAUAACAUAAUGAUGCUCUGACCCCAUAACCAAAGGAUGCUCUGACCCCAUAACAUGGGGACAAUCGGACCCCAUAACCAAUGGGAUGCUCUGACCCCAUAACCAAUGGGUGCUCCGACCCCAUAACAUAACGAUGCUCUGACCCCAUAACCAAUGGGAGCUCCGACCCCAUAACCAACGGGAGCUCUGACCCCAUAACAUGGGGACAAUCUGACCCCAUAACCAAUGGGAGCUCCGACCCCAUAACCGAUGGGUGCUCUGACCCCAUAGCCAUAUCCCAUUGACCCCAUAGCCAUAUCCUAUUGACCCCAUAGCCCCAUCCUAUUGACCCCAUAGCCCCAUCCCAUUGACCCCAUAGCCGUGUCCUAUUGACCCCAUAGCCCCAUCCUAUUGACCCCAUUGCCAUAUCCUAUUGACCCCAUAGCCAUAUCCUAUUUACCCCAUAGCCAUAUCCUAUUGACCCCAUAGCCAAAUCCUAUUGACCCCAUAGCCGUGUCCUAUUGACCCCAUAGCCGUGUCCUAUUGACCGCAUAGCCCCAUCCUAUUGACCCCAUAGCCCCAUAUCCUACUGACCCCAUAGCCAAAUCCUAUUGACCCCAUAGCCCCGUCCCAUUGACCCCAUAGCCCCAUAUCCUAUUGACCCCAUAGCCCCAUCCUAUUGACCCCAUAGCCAUAUCCUAUUGACCCCAUAGCCCCAUCCUAUUGACCCCAUAGCCCCAUCCUACUGACCCCAUAUCCAUAUCCCACUGACACCAUAUCCAUAUCCCAUUGACCCCAUAGCCCCAUCCCAUUGACCCCAUAGCCAUAUCCUAUUGACCCCAUAGCCCCACUCUAUUGACCCCAUAGCCCCAUCCUAUUGACCCCAUAGCCCCAUCCCAGUGACCCCAUAGCCAUAUCCUAUUGACCCCAUAGCCAAAUCCUAUUGACCCCAUAGCCGUGUCCUAUUGACCCCAUAUCCCCAUCCUUUUGACCCCAUAGCCAUAUCCUAUUGACCCCAUAGCCAAAUCCUAUUGACCCCAUAGCCGUGUCCUAUUGACCCCAUAGCCAUAUCCUAUAUAAUCAGCGUGGCGGCUAAUGUAGACAUGAAUAUUCAUGAAUGUGCUCAUGAAUAUUAAUGAGCAGGCCGGCCGUCAACGGAGCUGUCCGUGGUGCUGAUUUUUCUUUGGCAGCCGCGUUUGUAGGGCGGGGAGGGGAGGAAAUGCACCGCGGGGUUAUGGGGUGGCGUGGAGAUAUGGGGCGGAGGGGGGGAUUACCUAUAGGGUGUGCCUAUAGAGGGGGAUGGAGGGGGACGGGGGUGGGUUGUGGGGUGGUCUGUGGGGUCGUGAAGUCAGUGGGAAUGGGGGGUGGGUCUCUAUGGGGUCGUGAAGUCAGUGGGAUUGGAGAUGGGGCUCUAUGGGGUCGUGAAGUCAGUGGGAUUGGAGAUGGGGCUUCAUGGGGUCGUGAAGUCAGUGGGAAUGGGGAGUGGGGCUUUAUGGGGUCGUGAAGUCAUUGGGAUUGUAGAUGGUGCUCUAUGGGGUCGUGAAGUCAGUGGGAAUGGGGUGUGGGGCUUUAUGGGGUCAUGAAGUCAGUGGGAAUGGGAUGUGGGGCUCUAUGGGGUUUUGAAGUCAUUGGGAUUGGAGAUGGGGCUUUAUGGGGUCAUGAAGUCAGUGGGAAUGGGGUGUGGGGCUCUAUGGGGUCGUGAAGUCAGUGGGUUGGAGAUGGGGCUUUAUGGGGUCGUGAAGUCAGUGGGAAUGGGGUGUGGGGCUUUAUGGGUUUUUGAAGUCAUUGGGAUUGGAGAUGGGGCUUUAUGGGGUCGUGAAGUCAUUGGGAUUGGAGAUGGGGCUUUAUGGGGUCGUGAAGUCAGUGGGAAUGGGGUGUGGGGCUCUAUGGGUCGUGAAGUCAGUGGGAAUGGGGAGGGGGGCUUUAUGGGGUCGUGAAGUCAGUGGGAAUGGGAAGGGAUAAUCAAUGGGGUCAUGAAGUCAGUGGGAAUGGGGAGUGGGGCUCUAUGGGGUCAUGAAGUAAUUGGGAUUGGAGAUGGGGCUCUAUGGGGUUUUUGAAGUCAUUGGGAUUGGGGAUGGGACUUUAUGGGGUCGUGAAGCCAUUGGGAUUGGAGAUGGGGCUUUAUGGGGUCAUGAAGUCAGUGGGAAUGGGGUGUGGGGCUCUAUGGGGUCGUGAAGUCAGUGGGUUGGAGAUGGGGCUUUAUGGGGUCGUGAAGUCAGUGGGAAUGGGGAGUGGGGCUCUAUGGGGUCGUGAAGUCAGUGGGAAUGGGGAGUGGGGCUCUAUGGGGUCGUGAAGUCAGUGGGAAUGGGGUGUGGGGUUUUAUGGGGUCGUGAAGUCCUUGGGAUUGGAGAUGGGGCUCUAUGGGGUCAUGAAGUCAGUGGGAUUGGAGAUGGGGCUUUAUGGGGUCGUGAAGUCAGUGGGAUUGGAGAUGGGACUUUAUGGGGUCAAGAAGUCAGUGGGAUUGGAGAUGGGGCUCUAUGGGGUUUUGAAGUCAGUGGGAAUGGGGUGUGGGGCUCUAUGGGGUCGUGAGGUCAUAGGGAAUGUGGAGAGGGGUUUUAUGGGGUCAUGAAGCCAUUGGGAUUGGAGAUGGGGCUCUAUGGGGUCAUGAAGUCAGUGGGAAUGGGGAGUGGGGCUCUAUGGGGUUCCAAAAUCAAUGGGAAUGGUGUGUGGGGUUCUAUGGGGUUUUGAAGUCACUGGGAUUGGAGAUGGGGUUUAUGGGGUCGAGAAGUCAGUGGGAAUGGGGUGUGGGGGUCUAUGGGGUCAUGAAGUCGUUGGGAAUGGGGUGUGGGGCUUUAUGGGGUCAUAAAGUCAGUGGGAAUGGGGUGUGGGGCUCUAUGGGGUUUUGAAGUCAUUGGGAUUGGGGAGUGAAAAUCAAUGGGAUCCCAAAAUCAUUGGGAUUGGAGAUGGGGCUCUAUGGGGUCGUGAAGUCAUUGGGAUUGGAGAUGGGGCUCUAUGGGGUCGUGAAGUCAUUGGGAAUGGGGUUGGGGCUCUAUGGGGUCGUGAAGUCAGUGGGAUUGGAGAUGGGGCUCUAUGGGGUUUUGAAGUCAGUGGGAAUGGGGUGUGGGGCUCUAUGGGGUCGUGAAGUCAUUGGGAAUGGGGAUUGGGGUUCUAUGGGGUCCUGAAGUCUUUGGGAUUGGAGCCCAUCCCCAUCCCAUCCCCACCCCAUAUCCCACCCCAUAUCCCACCCCAUCCCCGCUCCCACUCCACUGCUGGCCCCACUGCCCUCCCAUCGGCCCCAUUGCUCUCCUGCUGGCCCUAUUACUCUCCUGUUGGCCCCAUUACUUUUCUGUUGGCCCUAUUACUUUUCUAUUGACCCCAUUGCUUUUCUGCUGACCCCAUUGCUCUCCUGCUGGCCCUAUUACUCUCCUGCUGGCCCUAUUACUUUCCUAUUGGCCCCAUUGCUCUCCUAUCGGCCCCAUUACUUUCCUAUCGGCCCCACUGCUCUCCUGUCGGCCCCACUGCUCUCCUGUUGGCCCCACUGCCCUCCUGCUGGCCCCAUUACUCUCCUAUUAGCCCUAUUGCUCUCCUGUUGGCCCCAUUACUUUCCUAUUGGCCCUAUUACUCUCCUGCUGGCCCUAUUACUCUCCUAUCAGCCCCAUUGUUGUUCUCCUGGCCCCAUUGCUCCCCUAUCAGCCCCAUUGCUCUCCUGUUUGCCCCAUUACCCUCCUGCUGGCCCUAUUACUCUCCUACUGGCCCCAUUGCUCUCCUGUCGGCCCUAUUACUCUCGUGCUGGCCCCAUUACUUUCCUGUCAGCCCCACUGCCCUCCUGCUGGCCCUAUUACUCUCCUAUUGGCCCCAUUGUUCUUCUCCUGGCCCCACUGUUCUCCUGUCGGCCCCAUUGCUCUCCUGCUGGCCCUAUUACUCUCCUAUCGGCCCCAUUGCACUCCUGCUGGCCCCAUUGCUCUCCUCCUGGCCCCAUUACUUUUCUAUCGGCCCCAUUGCUCUCCUGUCGGCCCCAUUACUCUCCUAUCGGCCCCAUUGCUCUCCUAUCGGCCCCAUUGCUCUCCUGUCGGCCCCAUUACUCUCCUAUCGGCCCCAUUGCUCUCCUGUUGACCCCAUUGCUCUCCUGCUGACCCUAUUACUUUCCUGUUGGCCCCAUUUCUCUCUCAUUGGCCCCAUUGCUCCCCUCUGGGUCCCACUGCUCUCCUCCUGGCCCCAUUACUUUUCUCUCGGCCCCAUUGCUCUCCUAUCGGUCCUAUUACUCUCCUAUCAGCCCCAUUGCUCUCCUAUCGGCCCUAUUAUUCUCAUAUCAGCCCCAUUACUUUCCUAUCGGCCCCAUUGCUCUCCUGCUGGCCCCAUUACUUUUCUGUUGGCCCUAUUACUUUUCUAUUGACCCCAUUGCUUUUCUGCUGACCCCACUGCUCUCCUAUCGGCCCUAUAACUCUCCUGUCAGCCUCAUUGCUCUCCUGUUGGCCCCAUUACUUUCCUAUCGGCCCCAUUGUUCUCCUGUUGGCCCUAAUACUUUUCUAUUGACCCCAUUGCUUUUCUGCUGGCCCCAUUACUUUCCUAUUGGCCCCAUUGUUCUCCUGUUGGCCCCAUUACUUUUCUGUUGGCCCUAUUACUUUUCUAUUGACCCCAUUGCUUUUCUGCUGACCCCACUGCUCUCCUAUCGGCCCCACUGCUCUCCUGUCGGCCCCAUUGCUCUCCUGCUGGCCCCAUUACUUUCCUGCUGGCCCCAUUGCUCUCCUGCUGGCCCUAUUGCUCUCCUGCUGGCCCUGUUACUCUCCUAUUGGCCCCAUUGCACUCCUGUCAGCCCUAUUACUCUCAUGCUGGCCCCAUUACUUUCCUAUUGGCCCCACUGCUCUCCUGCUGGCCCUAUUACUCUCCUGCUGGCCCCAUUUCUCUCCUCCUGGCCCCAUUGUUCCCCUAUCAGCCCCAUUGCUCUCCUGUUGGCCCCACUGCCCUCCUGCUGGCCCUAUUACUCUCCUAUUGGCCCCAUUGUUCUUCUCCUGGCCCCACUGUUCUCCUGUCGGCCCCAUUGCUCUCCUGCUGGCCCCAUUGCUCUCCUCCUGGCCCCAUUACUUUUCUAUCGGCCCCAUUGCUCUCCUCCUGGCCCUAUUACUCUCCUGCUGGCCCCAUUGCUCUCCUAUUGGCCCUAUUAGUCUCCUAUCGGCCCCAUUGCUCUCCUCCUGGCCCCAUUACUUUCCUAUUGGCCCCAUUGCUCUCCUGUCGGCCCCAUUGCUCUCCUGCUGGCCCUAUUACUCUCCUAUUGGCCCCAUUGCUCUCCUGUCGGCCCCAUUACUUUCCUAUCGGCCCCAUUACUUUCCUAUCGGCCCUAUUACUCUCCUGCUGGCCCCAUUGCUCUCCUGCUGGCCCUAUUACUUUUCUGUUGGCCCUAUUACUUUUAUAUUGACCCCACUGCUUUUCUACUGACCCCAUUGCUCUCCUGCUGGCCCUAUUGCUCUCCUAUCGUCCCCAUUGCUCUCCUGCUGGCCCCAUUACUCUCCUGUCAGCCCCAUUGCUGUCCUGCUGGCCCCAUUACUCUCCUGUCAGCCCCACUGCUCUCCUGUUGGCCCCAUUGCCCCCAUAUCAGCCCCACUGCUCUCCUCCCGGCCCCAUUGCCUUCCUUUUGGCCCCACUCCUCUCCUCUGGGCCCCACUGCUCUCCUUUUGGCCCCAUUGCUCUCCUGCGGUUGUGGGGUGGAGGAUAUGGGGUGGGGGUUGUGGGGUGGAGGUUAUGGGGUUGGAGACACCGUGGGGUCUUUCCCAGGGAGGGGGCGAAGCGCUGCUGCACGGAAGGUCGGCUCAGGGAAGGUGGCACAGUGUGACUUCCGCCUCUCCUUCCUCCUCAUCUUCCUCCUCCUCUUCCUCCUCACCUCCCUCCUCUCCUCACCUUCCUCAUCUCCCUCCUCAUCUUCAUCCUCUCCUUCCUC